rnacentral:misc_RNA from 1 species
AAGUCGUAACAAGGUCUCCGUAGGUGAACCUGCGGAGGGAUCAUUACCGAGUGAGGGCGCCCUCGCGCGCCCGACCUCCCACCCUGUGCGAGACACGAUACAAGUUGUCCAACGCCUCCCCCGGCGGGGCCCCGCGCCCCCCCGGGGGAGGACGUCCCAAACACUGCAUUUUGAACUUUGCGUCGGAGUAUUUGAGAUGAAAAUCAAAGCAAAACUUUCAACAACGGAUCUCUUGGUUCUG